ensembl:rRNA 5S_rRNA 5S ribosomal RNA
GCCAGCAGCCAUAUCACCCUGCAGCUCACAACUGGCUACCCACUGAAGUUAAGCAUGGUUGAGCCUGGUCAAUACCUGGAUGGGAGACCUCCUGGGAAACUAUGGCUGCUGCUGGAA